CGCAGCUCUAAUGGUGGGCUAUAAGAUAGUAUGUUUAGUUCAAGAUCUUCUUAGGUUUUCCGAUGAAAGUCGGUCAAUCUAUCCUGCGAUACUUUUUCUUCAUUCCUUAUUUAGUAGCUUACCUUUUAAUUCAAUCAACACAAUGAGAUAGAUAUGUCAAAUCAAGCAACUGGCACAGUAAAAUGGUUCAACGAAACUAAAGGUUUUGGUUUUAUCACUCCUGACAACGGCGGCGCUGACCUGUUCGUUCACUUCCGUUCAAUUGCCAGCGAAGGCUUCAAAACAUUAGCUGAAGGCCAAAAGGUUUCUUUUAAUGUAGAACAAGGUAACAAAGGCCCACAAGCUGGCAACGUUACUGUAAUCUAAGAAUUCUAUAAAAAGAUCCCUUCAACAGAAGGGAUCUUUUUU
rnacentral:sRNA from 1 species